rnacentral:tRNA from 1 species
GGUUGGCUAGCUCAGUUGGUUAGAGCGUCGAGCUAAUAACUCACUCGAAGGUCGUGGGUUCGACCCCCCCGCUGACCA